GGGCAUCUUGGCAAGAGACUUGAAGAUAUUUAAAAUCCCUAAUUAAAGCCAGGCUCAGAAGACAGGCUCACAGGUCCCUGCUCCAGGCUAGAGCAGCCAGUGGAAGCACCAACACCAGUAUCACAAAGAGAUGAUGGAGUCAAAAUGACUGCUUUGCUGCUGCUGUAUGUACCUUGGAGCUGGAUUUUUCUGUGAAGUCUGUAGAAGCUUGUUACCAUGUUAAAUGCCCAGCUUUCACUAAAUCCACACCUGAAGG